CAUACUGAACACAGCAGAGAGAGACAGGAGCCUGCUCAGAGCCAGUCCUCACAUGACAUUACAGCAAUACUGCUGCCAUUAUUACUACUAGCAUUAUUAUAAUUAUUAAGAGUAGCAGUUUCAGUAGUAGCUGUAGUUAGAAGUAGGUGGAAUUGUAAAUGGAAACUGUCCUUUAGGUUUUACAUUGUCCUGUAGGUUUUCAUUCAAACACUAGCACCUCAUUCACAAGCACACCUCAUUCAACAGCUAGAGAUCUUUGUUGAGCUGCUAAUUAGUCAGAGUCAGAGAUGCCAAAUUAGGGUUGAAAUGAAAACCUACAGGACGGUAGAUCUAUAGGAACAGGCUUGGUUGCCAAGUGAUUUGCCGUAACCUGAUGUCACCGUUUGUCCUCAGCAGAAGCACAGGAAGGCAGUGUCUGCACGGGACAGGAUGUGGACAGUAAGGGAGCGGUGUCCGAGGGUGAUCCACACUAAAAGCAGCCAGCUCAUCACACAGGCCAAGCAGCUCUGGACAUGUGCCCAGCCAGUCUGCAACAGAAACCCGCCAGGCUGCAACAAAAACCCGCCAGGCUGCAACAGAAACCCGCCAGUCUGCAACAAAAACCCGCCAGGCUGCAACAAAAACCCGCCAGGCUGCAACAGAAACCCGCCAGUCUGCAACAAAAAGGUAGGCCUAAAUUAUGCUUUCUGAACAGCUUUUUAGUAGUUUUUCCAAAAAUAUUUUAAGGCCAAGCAGCUCUGGACAUGUGCCCAGCCAGUCUGCAACAGAAACCCGCCAGGCUGCAACAAAAACCCGCCAGGCUGCAACAGAAACCCGCCAGUCUGCAACAAAAACCCGCCAGGCUGCAACAAAAACCCGCCAGGCUGCAACAGAAACCCGCCAGUCUGCAACAAAAAGGUAGGCCUAAAUUAUGCUUUCUGAACAGCUUUUUAAUAGUUUUUCCAAAAAUAUUUUUUCCAAAUUUAAUUUGUCUGUCAAGCAGCUUAUGAGGACUGUUGUUUUUCCUCUACCAGUCCAGGGCGGAAAAAACAAGCCUAAAAAAAAAAAAAAAGACAAAUGAGCUGAAAUUUCUGCAGACGCAGUCUCUUUACGAAAAUCCUCAAAAGCACCCUAACUGACUGAAGCACGCGGUCCAGCCUGCAAGGAAUUUGCCCAACAGCUCUGUUUCCGUUUCACAAGAACAAGAAGAACGAGGAACCACAGAAGCAGAAGCACCCGUAUCUGACCAGGCUGUGUACUCGCAAGUGGUGGGGAGGGGAGGGGGGGGGCGGUUAUCAAAGGGCAGGGAAUGGCGUCCUAGUGGCCGGACCCAGUGUAACUUUCGCUUCCCUUUUCCUCCACGGAUGACGGUUACGAACUGGCCAACCCUUAACCGCCAAAUAAAAACAGUUUACGAUCA